rnacentral:rRNA from 1 species
GACGAACGCUGGCGGCGUGCCUAACACAUGCAAGUCGAACGGAAGGGCCGGCAUUUUGUUGUUGAUUCGUGAGCGGCGGACGGGUGAGUAACGCGUGGGCCACCUGCCCUGUAGACGGGACUAACACCGAAACAUCGGUGAUAAUACCAGAUAACCCGUAGUGUCGCAUGAUGUUUCGUUUAAUGACGGCGGAAGCUGUCGCUACAGGGUGUGACCGCGGCGCCUUUGCUAGUUGGUGUGGUAACGGCACACCACGGCGACGAUGCGUAGCCGACCUGAGAGGGUGGUCGGCCACACUGGGACUGAGACACGGCCCAGACUCCUACGGGAGGCAGCAGUAGGGAAUCUGCCGCAAGGGACGAAAGUCUGACGGAGCAACGCCGCGUGAGCGAAGAAGGCCUUCGGGUCGUAAAGCUCUGUUGUUAGGGAAGAACAAGUAACGCAGUAACUGGCGUUACCGUGACGGUACCUAACGAGAAAGCCACGGCUAACUACGUG